CCUGCUCUUUCUCUGUCGCUUGUUCAUCUCAAUCCUGCUGCUCCUGCUGCUCGUGCUGCUGCUGCGUCUUGUUGCUAAUGUGGUUGCCGUUGUUGCUGCUGCUGAAGAAGGGUGCGCGAGCAGCGCUCCGCCAUGGCCUCCUCCGCUGCCCCAGCCUGCGCUUCUUCUCUUCCCUGGCUCUCGUCACCAGUCCCCAGCUCGAGGCUCUCUUCUCCCGAGCUCUCGCGAUGCGGAGUUGUGUGGAGGUGUUGCCCAAUUGGUGGGAUCGUGAGAGGGGUGCGCUAUGGGGCGACUUGGAGUUACCCGUCUCUACGGAGACGAAGCGAAUAUGGGUUAUUCGCGGUGGCGAGAAUGACGAAUCGCGAGAAGGAUGUGGUCAUUGAGAAGGAUGCGAGAGAGCAGGAGCAGCAGGAGGAGCCUUUGUUGUUGCGGAUUGGCGUCUUUCUCGUUACCGAGAUUCUGCGCCUCUUCUCCAAUUUCGGGAGGGCAGCUCCGAGUCUGCGACUGCAAUCGUGGAGGUAGAACAAUCUCCGGUUGAAAAUCAGACUGUGCUGGAAGUUCUUCGAGAGGAUUAUGAACGAGCCUACUUUCUUACAGGAGAUUUUACUCCAACGCUUUACGCAGACGAUUGCUUAUUCGCAGAUCCCACUAUCCAAUUUAGAGGACGAGAUAGAUACCAACGCAAUUUAAAGCUCUUGGUACCAUUCUUCGAAGAGCCUAAACUGAUCCUUUUCGACAUACAAGAGGAGGGCGAGUUGCAGGAUUCGAAAUCACGUCAACACAAGUCUAUCAACGCAAACUGGAAUUUGAGGACUUAUCUUCGGUUGCCGUGGAAGCCUCUGAUCGAUGUCGAUGGCUCUACAUUAUACGUCCUGGAUGCAAACUCAAAGAUUGUGAAGCAUAUUGAGAGCUGGAGUAUAAGUGGCUGGCAAGCAGUGCAACAGUUGUUUGUGCCCUCUGACAGAGCCUUUCGAAGUUCUUAGUCGGUGUUUUUAGCACGUCGAUGACUUUGUAGUAUUAUAUGCUUUUAUCUUCUGAAGCUUUUCAUAUUUCGAAACAUGCAGGUGAAGAGCACCAAUUCUCAGUAACUAUCAUCAACUAAUAUCUUGUGUCCUAAAUGUUGAGACCUUGAUAUUGAAUUGGACAGGUAAAUGCGUUUACAAAAAUCGAUUAAGAUAGAGUUUGUAAUUUUUGACUAAACAGUAUGGUUGAUUGGUAAAAGAUUUGCUGUUAAAUGAAUCGUGGUCUUUUUCAAUAUAGUGACAUGUUUGUUUUGGUUUUGCAAA